ensembl:lncRNA
CCAUCGUCCCACUCUAUUAAGCAUUUGUGUGUCCUUGAUUUGGAUACUGCAUGUAACUGUGGGCCCUGUAAUACAAGAAGGCUGUGGGGAACUUGAAUGUGUCCAGAUGAGAGCUGCAAAGCUGAUAACAGGGCUGAAAGUCUUGUCCUGCGUAGAGAGGCUGCGGGUGCUUGGGCUGACCAGUCUGGAGAAUAGAAGGCUGAUAGGCAACUUCAUUGCUCUCUUCAACUUCCUGAGAAGGGGAAGAGAAGAUCUUGUCACAGAGCUGCUAUAUAGAAGAAAAUCAAGUCAAGAAGCACAACCAAGGAACAAAUUUCUGGGGGAAGGCAGAAGCAAGAAUGUUCUCAGCUAGGCUUGCUGCUGUGACAUGGAACACACUGAAGGUCAUUACUGUAUUUGUACUACUGACAGUGAGGAAGAAGGAAUCUUUAUGGAUCUUACUGAACCUGUGGUGAGUGAACUUGAUGCAGCUUUAGCAGUUCAUUGGUCAACCAGAAGCAGAAAUACUUCCCACAGUUCCAUUAAAUUUAAAAAAAAAAAAAAAUAAUAAAAAAAAAUUCAAUGGCUGUUACCAAAAAUUCAGAAGUAUGCAGCUGUUACCAGUGAAGUGACUAAAUGGGCUACAUGACACACCACUUCGGCUGGAACGAAACUGAUCAAAUUGCAGUGACAUGGAAGUCAAUUCUUCAUCUCUCUACCUCCUGAAGACCUCUUUGUAGAAAGAAGGGAUACAGCAUGUGGAGCUACUGAAUCAAGCCCAUGAAGAAAAGAUAGGUGACUGAGGGUUAGAAGAGGAGUUUGGAUGUCAAGUUCAAGCUUUCCUUCCUGACUUCUCCAUGGAUGCGCUUUGUCACGUGGCUCAACAUUCUUGGAGCUGAGAAGAUGGAGUUCUCUAAUUUUGCACACUGGUGCUCGCAAUUGCUGGAGAGUAAUUUCUUCUUGACUGUACUUCCCUGCACAGACUGACUUUGUCUUUUACCUUGUUGCCUUCUGAAGGGCAGUCAGACAUUGCAUUCAAGGCUGAGUGUCCCACCUGUUGUAGAGUUUGGAGGCAUAGUCCUUCUCUCAACCCAAAGGUACCACAGUUGAGUUUCAUCUAAGUCAUCUAGUUUUCUCCAUAGGCCAGUAGAGAAGAAUAGAAAUUUCUUGGCUGAAAAUACAAAUAAGUCAUUACUUAAGGUGUCUGAUUUUUCCUCCUUGUAUUAAACAAGCAAAACAAAUAAUUAAACAAACAAUGAAACAAAAGAAAAAAACUCCAUACACUCCAAUAAAAGAAAAAGAAAACAGCAGAGGUGAUGAGCUCAGAUAUCUGCAUCGGAGCAUUCCAGAGUUUAAUGGGAUUAAACUGUACCUCAGUUUCCCUAUGAAUAAACUAUAACAAUAGGACAUCAAUAACAGUAUAUCAAAUUAGAGUGUUGACACCCACUUCUUUAUGUGAAUGUGUUGUCUGCUUAGACAGAAUAACUCUUCAAAACAGAUGGCAAAAGGAAAAUGUUCUCUCUGUAUGUUAUGCUGCCUAUUUCCAGCAGGAUUUCGUUACUGAAGUAACCACAUUUCUUUGCACUGAGUUGCAAGGCAAAGAUCGGAUGGGACAGACCUGCCUGCACAUCUAGGAAUUGCUCCCAGUCACACAGAUGUAUUUCUGAAUAGAAAUGCAAUAGAAAAACAGUGUUGUUUCAAAAGACAUCAGCUUCUAGAAGGCCCCUGUUGGAUCUGUAAGCGAGUGGAUUGAGGAGCAUCAGAUAAUUCAUUUAUUCACAGAUUCUAAGAGUGAAAGGGUUGCAUUUUGAUCAUCAGGUCAGCUGUUUGGUGUAACGUCAGUUUCCCUUCGUCUACAUUUGUUCAGCUGUUCAACUAGAAUAUAUGUUUCAGAAGAAAACCAUACCAGACUGCAGAAUUCCUAGCUUCAUGUCUGAUCAGACAUUGUAAAGGAGUUUUUCUCAUUAAUUAAUGCUCUGUUGAAAUCAUUAUGCCUAUUUGCUAUGGAAAGAUUUAUCAAGAAAUUCACUGGAGCAGCUAACCUUGCUGUCAUGGAUUUGGUUACCCUUCCUUUUGCCUCAUUCCUGGUCCUCAAGGUUUCAGCAAAUUUCUCCCCAACUCUCAGCUUCCUGGUGAAUUUUCUAUCCCCUCUCAUUCGUGGGGUGUGACAGGAUAAUAGCAGCAAUCCAGUCCUUAUUGUCUGGAUCUGCGGAUGAACGGUGCUGUAUAAGUGUAAAGUGUUAUUAUUAUUGUAAGGAAAUAAUAAUACUAAUAAAACAAAAUGAAUCGA